rnacentral:rRNA from 1 species
UACGUAGGGUGCGAGCGUUAAUCGGAAUUACUGGGCGUAAAGCGUGCGCAGGCGGCUUUGCAAGACAGAUGUGAAAUCCCCGGGCUCAACCUGGGAACUGCAUUUGUGACUGCAAGGCUAGAGUACGGCAGAGGGGGAUGGAAUUCCGCGUUUAGCAGUGAAAUGCGUAGAUAUGCGGAGGAACACCAAUGGCGAAGGCAAUCCCCUGGGCCUGUACUGACGCUCAUGCACGAAAGCGUGGGGAGCAAACAGG